rnacentral:lncRNA from 1 species
CCGGUAUACAUGUCAUUCCAAGCAAACAAUCAAAUAACCAAUUUUAUCAUUUCUGAUAAAAUGUCGUGUGUGGGUACACGAUCGGCCCUAGCCAAAAUAUAAUAAUCUCCUUUUUAUAAAUCCCACCAUAUUAUGUAUUCCACUAAAACAUUUUUGGUAUCAUUAACUGAUGCCCGGUUAAUUUCCAAUUAAUUUUCCAAGAUUACUUAAAAUAAUUCCCAAAUAAAUCAUUUUCGCACAAAAUAAAGCUCAAUUAAAUAAACGGACUACACCACGACAAUCAGCAUACAAUUCUGGUCACUGGCCAUCCCGGUUGAAUUUCCGGAAAAAUAAAUAAAUAAAUAAAUAAUUUCAAAAAUAAAUAAAUAAAUACUAAAAAUCCAAUUUAGGCCAGUAUUGCCUGAUUGGACGCCAGAACGGAUCGGGAAAAAUCCCGAGAUGCAUUCAAUAAAUAAAAGUACGUCUCCACUUGCUAAUGACUAAGUCUAACCACCUAACAUGCAUCGUUAAGUCACUAAUUUAAUUAUCCUAAACUAAUCUAACCACCUAAUUGCACUUAAUUAAAUCUAAC